rnacentral:rRNA from 1 species
AGUGAACGCUGGCGGCGUGCUUAACACAUGCAAGUCGAACGAGAACGGAUUAUAGCUUGCUAUAAUUGUCAGCUAAGUGGCGCACGGGUGAGUAAUGUAUAGGUAAUAUGCCUCUUACUAAGGGAUAACAAAUGGAAACGUUUGCUAAUACCUUAUACUCCUUAUUAACAGAAGUUAAUAAGGGAAAGAUUUAUUGGUAGAGAUUAGCCUGUAUUGUAUCAGUUAGUUGGUGGGGUAAUGGCUUACCAAGACUACGACACAUAACUGGUUUGAGAGGAUGAUCAGUCACACUGGAACUGAGACACGGUCCAGACUCCUUCGGGAGGCAGCAGUGGGGAAUAUUGCACAAUGGACGAAAGUCUGAUGCAGCAACGCCGCGUGGAGGAUGACACAUUUCGGUGCGUAAACUCCUUUUAUAUGAGAAGAUAAUGACGGUAUUAUAUGAAUAAGCACCGGCUAACUCCGUGCCAGCAGCCGCAGUAA